ACCUACACGGCGGCCAUUAUCAAAGACAUAUUACAGUUACAGUAACUGUAAUAUGUCUUUGAUAAUGGCCGCCGUGUAGGU